rnacentral:rRNA from 1 species
UACGUAGGGGGCAAGCGUUAUCCGGAAUUACUGGGUGUAAGGGUGAGUAGGCGGCAUGGUAAGCCAGAUGUGAAAGCCUUGGGCUUAACCCGAGGAUUGCAUUUGGAACUAUCAAGCUAGAGUACAGGAGAGGAAAGCGGAAUUCCUAGUGUAGCGGUGAAAUGCGUAGAUAUUAGGAAGAACACCAGUGGCGAAGGCGGCUUUCUGGACUGAAACUGACGCUGAGGCACGAAAGCGUGGGGAGCGAACAGG